CAUGAAAGCCGGGUCAUUCGGUGCUUGCUCUGUUUGAGCGGUGAUAUUCCAAAUAGCUAUGCCAUGGAGCCCAUUCGUAUAAUGAAAAACUAUGGGAAAGACUUUGGCUCCAUGGCAAUUGAACUGUAUGUGUGUGGUCUGAGCCCCAUUCAGUAAUAAUGUGUGCUCAGACCUAAGCUAUCUGGGGAUAUGUUGCAUGUCUGUAUUUUAUGUAAUAAAUGUAACCUUGUAUGUUUUAUUGUAUUUUACUGUCUUUUUACUGCCAUGUGCUUAAUGGAGUUUUGCCUCUGUCCUUGGAGAUAAUUGGAUUACUUCCCAAUUAUCUCCAGGAUAGAAGACUCUGUGGAACUGGUUUUGGGCAGAAAAGCCAUGCUUCCUUUGGUCACAAAGGACUACGAUCUAUCUUUUGAACCACUGGAC